rnacentral:misc_RNA from 1 species
GAUGAAGAACGCAGUAAAAUGCGAUAAGUAAUGUGAAUUGCAGAUCUCGUGAAUCAUCGAAUCUUUGAACGCACAUUGCGCCCUAUAGCAUUCUGUAGGGCAUGCCUGUCUGAGUAUCAUUAUACCCACUCAGAUCUUGGAUUAUUUUAUAUAGUCUUAGAUUUGGAUUUAAUCAGAGAAGUAACCAAUUUGAGUAGAUUACUCUUUGGAAAUAUAAAGGCAGUUGUAGUGAAACCUAUAUUAAACGUGAUAUUAAAAAGUUUCGUUUAAAAGGACUGAAUCUUUGACUUGCCUUUAACCCACUUAAUUCUUUGGUUGACCUCAGAUCAGGUAGGGAUACCCGCUGAACUUAAGCAUAUCAAUAAGCGGAGGA